AGACAGCAGUAGCCGCGGUAAUACGUAGGUGGCAAGCGUUGUCCGGAAUUAUUGGGCGUAAAGGGCUCGCAGGCGGUUUCUUAAGUCUGAUGUGAAAGCCCCCGGCUCAACCGGGGAGGGUCAUUGGAAACUGGGAAACUUGAGUGCAGAAGAGGGGAGUGGAAUUCCACGUGUAGCGGUGAAAUGCGUAGAGAUGUGGAGGAACACCAGUGGCGAAGGCGACUCUCUGGUCUGUAACUGACGCUGAGGAGCGAAAGCGUGGGGAGCGAACAGGAUUAGAUACCCGCGUAGUCCCUGUCUCUUAUAC
rnacentral:rRNA from 1 species